GUGAAUCAUCAAAUUUUUGAACGCAAAUUGCGCUUCCUGGCAUCCCGGGAAGUAUGCCUGUUUGAGGGUCAGUAUUAAUAAAAAAUCGGUUUAUUUACAAAUUGUGACGUUUCCGGAGUUGGUGCUAUCUUAACAUUUUUGGUUAUGAGGUUUAAAUUUGCCCUUUUUUGCUCAUUUUUAAAUUUACACAAAUUUUUUUUAUUCGUCUAUUCUUAUUGCCAAAAUCUUAUUAGAGUCAAUCUUU
rnacentral:misc_RNA from 1 species